rnacentral:rRNA from 1 species
UACGUAGGGUGCAAGCGUUGUUCGGAAUUACUGGGCGUAAAGGGCGCGUAGGCGGCCUUCUAAGUCAGACGUGAAAUCCCCAGGCUUAACUUGGGAACUGCGUCUGAUACUGGGAGGCUUGAGUGCGGGAGAGGGAUGUGGAAUUCCAGGUGUAGCGGUGAAAUGCGUAGAUAUCUGGAGGAACACCGGUGGCGAAGGCGGCAUCCUGGACCGACACUGACGCUGAGGCGCGAAAGCUAGGGGAGCAAACGGG